GACGAACGCUGGCGGCGUGCUUAACACAUGCAAGUCGAACGGAAAGGCCCUGCUUUUGUGGGGUGCUCGAGUGGCGAACGGGUGAGUAACACGUGAGUAACCUGCCCUUGACUUUGGGAUAACUUCAGGAAACUGGGGCUAAUACCGGAUAGGAGCUCCUGCUGCAUGGUGGGGGUUGGAAAGUUUCGGCGGUUGGGGAUGGACUCGCGGCUUAUCAGCUUGUUGGUGGGGUAGUGGCUUACCAAGGCUUUGACGGGUAGCCGGCCUGAGAGGGUGACCGGCCACAUUGGGACUGAGAUACGGCCCAGACUCCUGCGGGAGGCAGCAGUGGGGAAUAUUGCACAAUGGGCGGAAGCCUUAUGCAGCAACGCCGCGUGCGGGAUGACGGCCUUCGGGUUGUAAACCGCUUUCGCCUGUGACGAAGCGUGAGUGACGGUAAUGGGUAAAGAAGCACCGGCUAACUACGUG
rnacentral:rRNA from 1 species